AGCUUUCUCCCGAACGCCAGCGCUGAGGACACGAUGUCGCGGCUCUCCCGCUCACUGCUCUGGGCCGCCACCUGCCUGGGCAUGCUCUGCGUGCUGUCCGCGGACAAGAACACGACCCAGCAACCCAACGUGACGACUUUAGCGCCCGUCUCCAACAUAACCUCGGCGCCUGUGACGUCCCUCCCGCUGGUCACCACUCCGGCACCAGAAACCUGUGAAGGUCGAAACAGCUGCGUUUCCUGUUUUAAUGUUAGCAUUGUUAAUACUACCUGCUAUUGGAUAGAAUGUAAAGAUGAGAGCUAUUGUUCACAUAACUCAACAGUUAGUGAUUGUCAAGUGGGGAACACGACAGACUUCUGUUCUGUUUCAACGGCCACUCCGGUGCCAACAGCCAAUUCUACAGGUAAUUCAAGAUGACUAUUUUCUUCCUUUUCCUUCAGUAUUUUUAAGCUUUCUUGAUGGAUUAAUUUUAAGUAAUUAUGUAAAAGUUGUUAGUAUAGUUUUAAAGAUGAGUAAAAACUUAAAGUCUUGGACCACAGCAAUUAACGUUAAUCUCUACCUUUUGUGACAGUGACACAUAGCUCCAGUG
rnacentral:sRNA from 1 species